GACAGAGGGUGCAAACGUUGUUCGGAAUUACUGGGCGUAAAGCGAGUGUAGGCGGUCUGCUAAGUCGGGUGUGAAAGCCCUGGGCUCAACCCGGGAAGUGCACUCGAAACUGGCGGGCUAGAGUAUCGGAGAGGUUGGUGGAAUUCUCGGUGUAGAGGUGAGAUUCGUAGAUAUCGAGAGGAACACCGGUGGCGAAGGCGGCCAACUGGACGAAUACUGACGCUGAGACUCGAAAGCGUGGGGAGCAAACAGG
rnacentral:rRNA from 1 species